rnacentral:rRNA from 1 species
UUGUCUCAAAGAUUAAGCCAUGCAUGUCUCAGUACAAGCCGAAUUAAGGUGAAACCGCGAAAGGCUCAUUAAAUCAGUUAUGGUUCCUUAGAUCGUACCCACAUUUACUUGGAUAACUGUGGUAAUUCUAGAGCUAAUACAUGCAAACAGAGCCCCAACCGGAAACGGAAGGGGCGCUUUUAUUAGAUCAAAACCAAUCGGUGUCGGUCUCCGUCAUCGUACAACUUGGUGACUCUGAAUAACUUUACGCUGAUCGCACGGUCUCGCACCGGCGACGCAUCUUUCAAAUGUCUGCCUUAUCAACUGUCGAUGGUAGGUUCUGCGCCUACCAUGGUUGUAACGGGUAACGGGGAAUCAGGGUUCGAUUCCGGAGAGGGAGCCUGAGAAACGGCUACCACAUCCAAGGAAGGCAGCAGGCGCGCAAAUUACCCACUCCCGGCACGGGGAGGUAGUGACGAAAAAUAACGAUACGGGACUCAUCCGAGGCCCCGUAAUCGGAAUGAGUACACUCUAAACCCUUUAACGAGGAUCAAUUGGAGGGCAAGUCUGGUGCCAGCAGCCGCGGUAAUUCCAGCUCCAAUAGCGUAUAUUAAAGUUGUUGCGGUUAAAAAGCUCGUAGUCGAAUCUGUGUCCCGCGCCGCCGGUUCAUCGUUCGCGGUGUUAACUGGCGUGCCGCGGGACGUCCUGCCGGUGGGCUUAGCUCGAGAGGGCGGCCCAACUCAAUCCCGCCGCGGUGCUCUUCAUUGAGUGUCGAGGUGGGCCGGCACGUUUACUUUGAACAAAUUAGAGUGCUUAAAGCAGGCUAAAACUUCGCCUGAAUACUGUGUGCAUGGAAUAAUGGAAUAGGACCUCGGUUCUAUUUUGUUGGUUUUCGGAACCCCGAGGUAAUGAUUAAUAGGAACGGAUGGGGGCAUUCGUAUUGCGACGUUAGAGGUGAAAUUCUUGGAUCGUCGCAAGACGGACAG